rnacentral:rRNA from 1 species
GAUGAACGCUGGCGGCGUGCUUAACACAUGCAAGUCGAACGAAGAUGCCGGAGUGCUUGCACUUUGGCAGACUGAGUGGCGGACGGGUGAGUAACGCGUGGGCAACCUGCCCUGUACUGGGGGACAACAGUUGGAAACGACUGCUAAUACCGCAUAAGCGCACGGGAUCGCAUGAUCCUGUGUGAAAAACUCCGGUGGUACAGGAUGGACCCGCGUCUGAUUAGCUGGUUGGUGAGGUAACGGCCCACCAAGGCAACGAUCAGUAGCCGGCCUGAGAGGGUGAACGGCCACAUUGGGACUGAGACACGGCCCAAACUCCUACGGGAGGCAGCAGUGGGGAAUAUUGCACAAUGGGGGAAACCCUGAUGCAGCGACGCCGCGUGAGUGAAGAAGUAUUUCGGUAUGUAAAGCUCUAUCAGCAGGGAAGAAAAUGACGGUACCUGACUAAGAAGCCCCGGCUAACUACGUG